rnacentral:rRNA from 1 species
UACGUAGGGUGCGAGCGUUGUCCGGAAUUAUUGGGCGUAAAGGGCUCGUAGGCGGUUUGUCGCGUCGGGAGUGAAAUCCUACGGCUUAACUGUGGGCUUGCUUUCGAUACGGGCAGACUAGAGGUAUGCAGGGGAGAACGGAAUUCCUGGUGUAGCGGUGAAAUGCGCAGAUAUCAGGAGGAACACCGGUGGCGAAGGCGGAUCUCUGGGCCAUUACUGACGCUGAGGAGCGAAAGCGUGGGGAGCGAACAGG